rnacentral:SRP_RNA from 1 species
GCCGGGCGUGGUGGUGCGUGCCUGUGGUCCCAGGUAUUCGGGAGGCUGAGGCUGGAGGAUCACUUGAGCCCAGGAGUUCUGGGCUGUAGUGCGCUAUGCCGAUCGGGCGUCCACACUAAGUUCGGCAUCAAUAUAAUGACCUCCUGGAGCCGGGGGCCACCAGGUUGCCUAAGGAGGGGUGAACCAGCCCAGGUCGGAAACGGAGCAGAUCAAAACUCCGGUGCUGAUCAGUGGUGGGAUCGCGUCUGUGAAUAGCCACUGCACUCCAGCCUGGGCAACAUAGCGAGACCCCGUCUCU